GCGCAGCAGUCGCGAAUUUUUCUCAAUGGGGGAAACCCUGAAGGAGCGACGCCGCGUGGAGGAUGAAGGCUUUCGGGUUGUAAACUCCUGUCAUUUGGGAACAAGUUGCACACGUUAACUGCGUGGGCAUUGAUAGUACCAGAAGAGGAAGGGACGGCUAACUCUGUGCCAGCAGCCGCGGUAAUACAGAGGUCCCAAGCGUUGUUCGGAUUCAUUGGGCGUAAAGGGUGCGUAGGUGGCGCUGUAAGUCGGGUGUGAAAUUUCGGAGCUUAACUCCGAAACUGCAUUCGAUACUGCGGUGCUUGAGGACUGGAGAGGAGACUGGAAUUCAUGGUGUAGCAGUGAAAUGCGUAGAGAUCAUGAGGAAGACCAGUGGCGAAGGCGGGUCUCUGGACAGUUCCUGACACUGAGGCACGAAGGCCAGGGGAGCAAAC
rnacentral:rRNA from 1 species